CAUUACCGAGUGAGGGCCCUCUGGGUCCAACCUCCCACCCGUGUUUAUUUUACCUUGUUGCUUCGGCGGGCCCGCCUUAACUGGCCGCCGGGGGGCUUACGCCCCCGGGCCCGCGCCCGCCGAAGACACCCUCGAACUCUGUCUGAAGAUUGAAGUCUGAGUGAAAAUAUAAAUUAUUUAAAACUUUCAACAACGGAUCUCUUGGUUCCGGCAUCGAUGAAGAACGCAGCGAAAUGCGAUACGUAAUGUGAAUUGCAAAUUCAGUGAAUCAUCGAGUCUUUGAACGCACAUUGCGCCCCCUGGUAUUCCGGGGGGCAUGCCUGUCCGAGCGUCAUUGCUGCCCUCAAGCCCGGCUUGUGUGUUGGGCCCCGUCCCCCGAUCUCCGGGGGACGGGCCCGAAAGGCAGCGGCGGCACCGCGUCCGGUCCUCGAGCGUAUGGGGCUUUGUCACCCGCUCUGUAGGCCCGGCCGGCGCUUGCCGAUCAACCCAAAUUUUUAUCCAGGUUGACCUCGGAUCAGGUAGGGAUACCCGCUGAACUUAA
rnacentral:rRNA from 1 species